rnacentral:rRNA from 1 species
UACGGAGGGUGCAAGCGUUAUCCGGAAUCACUGGGCUUAAAGGGUGCGUAGGCGGUGGCGUAAGUCAGUUGUGAAAUUCCCCGGCUUAACCGGCGGGACUGCGAUUGAUACUGCGUUACUUGAAUCAGGUUGAGGUAGGCGGAAUGUGACAUGUAGCGGUGAAAUGCUUAGAUAUGUCAUAGAACACCGAUUGCGAAGGCAGCUUGCUGGACCUGUAUUGACGCUGAGGCACGAAAGCGUGGGGAGCAAACGGG